rnacentral:rRNA from 1 species
GACGAACGCUGGCGGCGUGCUUAACACAUGCAAGUCACGGGGGCCCGCAAGGGUAACCGGCGAACGGGUGCGUAACACGUGAACAAUCUGCCUAGAUGUGGGGGAUAGCCGGCCCAACGGCCGGGUAAUACCGCAUACGCUCUUCGGGUGGCAUCACUUGAAGAGGAAACCUCCGGGGCAUCUAGAGGAGUUCGCGGCCUAUCAGCUAGUUGGUGGGGUAACGGCCUACCAAGGCAAUGACGGGUAGCUGGUCUGAGAGGAUGGCCAGCCACAUUGGGACUGAGAUACGGCCCAGACUCCUACGGGAGGCAGCAGUGGGGAAUAUUGCGCAAUGGCCGAAAGGCUGACGCAGCGACGCCGCGUGGGGGAUGAAGCAUUUCGGUGUGUAAACCCCUGUUGCUCGGGACGAACAAGCGAUUUCGAUCGCUCUGACGGUACCGGGUGAGGAAGCACCGGCUAACUCCGUGCCAGCCGCCGCUGUAA